rnacentral:rRNA from 1 species
GACGAACGCUGGCGGCGUGCUUAACACAUGCAAGUCGAACGGAAAGGCCCUGCUUUUGUGGGGUGCUCGAGUGGCGAACGGGUGAGUAACACGUGAGUAACCUGCCCUUGACUUUGGGAUAACUUCAGGAAACUGGGGCUAAUACCGGAUAGGAGCUCCUGCUGCAUGGUGGGGGUUGGAAAGUUUCGGCGGUUGGGGAUGGACUCGCGGCUUAUCAGCUUGUUGGUGGGGUAGUGGCUUACCAAGGCGUUGACGGGUAGCCGGCCUGAGAGGGUGACCGGCCACAUGGGGACUGAGAUACGGCCCAGACUCCUACGGGAGGCAGCAGUGGGGAAUAUUGCACAAUGGGCGGAAGCCUGAUGCAGCAACGCCGCGUGCGGGAUGACGGCCUUCGGGUUGUAAACCGCUUUCGCCUGUGACGAAGCGUGAGUGACGGUAAUGGGUAAAGAAGCACCGGCUAACUACGUG